UACGUAGGGGGCAAGCGUUGUCCGGAUUUAUUGGGCGUAAAGAGCGUGUAGGCGGCCAUACAGGUCCGUUGUGAAAACUGGAGGCUUAACCUCCAGACGUCGAUGGAAACCGUAUGGCUAGAGUCCGGAAGAGGAGAGUGGAAUUCCUGGUGUAGCGGUGAAAUGCGCAGAUAUCAGGAAGAACACCCGUGGCGAAGGCGGUUCUCUGGAACGCAACUGACGCUGAGACGCGAAAGCGUGGGGAGCAAACAGG
rnacentral:rRNA from 1 species